rnacentral:rRNA from 1 species
ACGGGGGUGGCAAGCGUUGUUCGGAAUUACUGGGCGUAAAGGGCGCGUAGGCGGCGAAACAAGUCAGAUGUGAAAGCCCCGGGCUUAACUCGGGAAUUGCAUCUGAAACUGUAUUGCUUGAGUCCUGGAGGGGGUAGUGGAAUUCCCAGUGUAGCGGUGAAAUGCGUAGAUAUUGGGAGGAACACCUGCGGCGAAGGCGGCUACCUGGACAGUGACUGACGCUGAGGCGCGAAAGCUAGGGGAGCGAACGG